rnacentral:tRNA from 1 species
GACUUAAAAUCCGUUGGCUUUAUAGACCGUGAGG